GACGAACGCUGGCGGCGUGCCUAAUACAUGCAAGUAGAACGCUGAAGGAGGAGCUUGCUUCUCCGGAUGAGUUGCGAACGGGUGAGUAACGCGUAGGUAACCUGCCUGGUAGCGGGGGAUAACUAUUGGAAACGAUAGCUAAUACCGCAUAAGAGUAGAUGUUGCAUGACAUUUGCUUAAAAGGUGCAAUUGCAUCACUACCAGAUGGACCUGCGUUGUAUUAGCUAGUUGGUGAGGUAACGGCUCACCAAGGCGACGAUACAUAGCCGACCUGAGAGGGUGAUCGGCCACACUGGGACUGAGACACGGCCCAGACUCCUACGGGAGGCAGCAGUAGGGAAUCUUCGGCAAUGGACGGAAGUCUGACCGAGCAACGCCGCGUGAGUGAAGAAGGUUGUCGGAUCGUAAAGCUCUGUUGUAAGAGAAGAACGAGUGUGAGAGUGGAAAGUUCACACUGUGACGGUAUCUGACCAGAAAGGGACGGCUAACUACGUG
rnacentral:rRNA from 1 species